rnacentral:lncRNA from 1 species
ACCUCACAAAUAUUUCUCAUCAACCAAACAAAUACUAUUCUGUCCAUGGAUCAAUUUCACUUGCCAGGAACAAAGUUUGUGGCAUAUGCCCAAGCAUUGUUGUUAACGGGGUCGGCAAGGUGGUCAGCCAAGUUCUCCAGUGGACCCUUUCCGGUGACAAUAGCCUGAACAAAGAAGCCAAACAUGGAAAACAUGGCCAGCCUCCCAUUCUUGAUCUCCUUCACCUUGAGCUCAGCAAAAGCCUCAGGGUCAUCAGCUAGCCCUAGUGGAUCAAAGCUUCCACCGGGGUAAAGGGGAUCGGUGACCUCCCCAAGUGGUCCUCCGGCAAUGCGGUAGCCCUCAACUGCGCCCAUCAGGAUCACCUGUGUGGCCCAAAUAGCCAAUAUGCUUUGUGCAUGCACCAAAUUAGGGUUUCCCAAGUAGUCCAGUCCACCCUCGCUGAAUAUCUGCGCACCAGCCUUGAACCACACUGCCUCCCCAAACUUGACCCCGUUGCGCGACAGAAGCUCCGGGAAGACGCAUCCGAGAGCUCCAAGCAUUGCCCACCUGCAGUGGAUGACCUCAAGCUCACGAUUCUUGGCGAAGGUCUCCGGAUCAGCUGAGAGGCCUGCAGUGUCCCAGCCAUAGUCACCAGGGAACUCACCAGUCAAGUAGGAUGGUGGCUCACCAGAGAAGGGCCCCAAGUACUUGACUCGGUCAGGGCCAUACCAGGGGCUUCCUGAAGAAACUGCUUUAGAUUUUGCCACAGAUUUUCUCAUUGUGACUCUUCCUUGAUCACCAGCAAGAAGCUCAGUGACAUUGG